ACGGAGGGUGCAAGCGUUAAUCGGAAUUACUGGGCGUAAAGCGCACGUAGGCUGUAGUGUAAGUCAGGGGUGAAAUCCCACGGCUCAACCGUGGAACUGCCUUUGAUACUGCACAACUUGAAUCCGGGAGAGGGGGGCGGAAUUCCAGGUGUAGGAGUGAAAUGCGUAGAGAUCCGGAGGAACACCAGUGGCGAAGGCGACCCCCUGGACCG
rnacentral:rRNA from 1 species